CCUACGCGAGGCAGCAGUGGGGAAUCUUGGGCAAUGGGCGCAAGCCUGACCCAGCAACGCCGCGUGAAGGAAGAAGGCUUUCGGGUUGUAAACUUCUUUUCUGAGGGACGAAGAAAGUGACGGUACCUCAGGAAUAAGCCACGGCUAACUACGUGCAAGCAGCCGCGGUAAUACGUAGGGGGCAAGCGUUAUCCGGAUUUACUGGGUGUCAAGGGAGCGUAGACGGCUGCGCAAGUCAGAAGUGAAAGCCCGGGGCUCAACCGCGGGACUGCUUGUGACACUGUGUAGCUAGAGUGCAGGAGAGGUAAGUGGAAUGCCUAGUGUAGCGGUGAAAUGCGUAGAUAUUAGGAGGAACACCGGUGGCGAAGGCGGCUUACUGGACUGUAACUGACGUUGAGGCUCGAAAGCGUGGGGAGCAAACAGGAUUAGAUACCCCAGUAGUC
rnacentral:rRNA from 1 species